rnacentral:rRNA from 1 species
GGGGGUAAUUUAAUUAAUUUUAAUUAAUAAAAAAAAUUUUUAUUUAAAGAUAUUUUAAUGGGGGUUAAAGUAUAUAAAAAGAAAAAAUUUUUAAGUUUAUAGGGAAGUAGUAUUGUAAAAGAAUAUUGAAAUAAGAUGAAAAUUUAAUUAUUGAGUAAGUAAAUUUAAUUUAUUGUAUCUUGUGUAUCAGAGUUUAUUAAAUAAUUUUUUUAGUUAAAAAUUUUUCGAAUUUAAAAGAGUUAAUUAAUUAAGAUUUUUAUUGUAGCAUAAAUAUGUUAAAUAAUUAAUUUGAAAUGAAACGUUAUUCGUUUUUAAAUAUAUCUAAUUUUUUUAGAAAUAAAUUUAAUUUAGAAUUUUUUUUUUUAUUUAUUAAAUUAUUUUAUUAAAUAAAAUUUAAAUUUAAUAUUUUAGGGGAUAAUCUUUAAAUUAAAUUUUUAUAAUAGUAAUUAUAUAGUUAAAUUAAAAUUUUUAGAAUUUAUAUUGUUUAUAAAAUAUAUUUUUUUGUAAAAAUUUUUAAUUAAAAUAAAAUUUUUAUUUAUAGUUUAAUUUUAUAUAAAAAAAUAAUUUUUAAUGGGGAAAAAUUAGUUAUAAUGAUAAAAUUAGUAUAAUUUAGAUAAAUAAUUAAUUAAAGUAAAUUUAUAAAUAAAAAAAAGGAAUUCGGCAAAUUAAAAUAUUCACCUGUUUAACAAAAACAUGUCUUUUUGGUUAUAAUUUAAAGUCGAGUCUGCCCACUGAUAUGUAAUAUUAAAGGGCUGCAGUAUAUUGACUGUACAAAGGUAGCAUAAUAAAUAGUCUUUUAAUUGAAGACUUGUAUGAAAGAUUUGAUGAAAUAUUAACUGUCUCUUUUUUAUAUUUAGAAUUUAAUUUUUUAGUGAAAAAGCUAAGAUUUAUUUAAAAGACGAGAAGACCCUAUAGAGUUUUAUAUUAAUUUAAUUUUAAAUUAUAUAUUUAAAUUUAAUUUUAAAGUUAAAUUAUUAUUUUAUUGGGGUGAUAAAAAAAUUUAAUAAACUUUUUUUUUUAUAUUUUACAUAGAUUAAUGAAUAAAUGAUCCAUAAAUUAUGAUUAUAAGAAAAAAUUACCUUAGGGAUAACAGCGUAAUUUUUUUUUUUAGUUCUUAUAAAAAAAAAAGUUUGCGACCUCGAUGUUGGAUUAAGAUAAAAUUUAAAUGCAGAAGUUUAAAAAUUUUGAUCUGUUCGAUCAUUAAAAUCUUACAUGAUCUGAGUUCAAACCGGUGUAAGCCAGGUUGGUUUCUAUCUUUAAAAAUUUAAAAUAUUUUAGUACGAAAGGAUUAAAUAUUUAAAAUAAUUUUAUGUAAAUGAAUUUUAAUAAUAAUAAUAUAAAUUAUAUAUAUAUAUAUAUAUCUAUAUAUAUAUAUAAC